rnacentral:rRNA from 1 species
UGUUCCCUACGGGGGGCAGCAGUCGAGAAUCAUUCACAAUGGGGGAAACCCUGAUGGUGCGACGCCGCGUGGGGGAAUGAAGGUCUUCGGAUUGUAAACCCCUGUCAUGUGGGAGCAAAUUAAAAAGAUAGUACCACAAGAGGAAGAGACGGCUAACUCUGUGACAGCAGCCGCGGUAAUACAGAGGUCUCAAGCGUUGUUCGGAAUCACUGGGCGUAAAGCGUGCGUAGGCUGUUUCGUAAGUCGUGUGUGAAAGGCGCGGGAUCAACCGGCGGACGGCACAUGAUACUGCGAGACUAGAGUGG